rnacentral:rRNA from 1 species
AUGAACGCUGGCGGCGUGCCUAAUACAUGCAAGUCGAGCGAACAGACGAGGAGCUUGCUCCUCUGACGUUAGCGGCGGACGGGUGAGUAACACGUGGAUAACCUACCUAUAAGACUGGGAUAACUUCGGGAAACCGGAGCUAAUACCGGAUAAUAUAUUGAACCGCAUGGUUCAAUAGUGAAAGACGGUUUUGCUGUCACUUAUAGAUGGAUCCGCGCCGCAUUAGCUAGUUGGUAAGGUAACGGCUUACCAAGGCGACGAUGCGUAGCCGACCUGAGAGGGUGAUCGGCCACACUGGAACUGAGACACGGUCCAGACUCCUACGGGAGGCAGCAGUAGGGAAUCUUCCGCAAUGGGCGAAAGCCUGACGGAGCAACGCCGCGUGAGUGAUGAAGGUCUUCGGAUCGUAAAACUCUGUUAUUAGGGAAGGACAAAUGUGUAAGUAACUAUGCACGUCUUGACGGUACCUAAUCAGAAAGCCACGGCUAACUACGUG